CAUCCAACCCUCGUCGCCAGUGUUAUAUACUGAGCAUGGGCACAAGGAACGGAGACGAGGCAGAGAACUAGUGAACUUCAACUCUUUAUUAAUGAAUAAG